CCAAUAGAACUCACGGGUAGUUUGAAAGAAGAGUGAACGGGCGCAAUGACGGACGUCAAUAGAAUGAUGAAGAUAAUGACAAUGAAACCGUUGAAAGCAAGGAUGGAAGGAGGCAACAAUAGAGAAAGAGAGCCAUUGAAGAGUCGGACGUCAUUCCACAGGACACAAUCAACAGCCGGAUCAACUCUACGCGAAGGAGAUGUUGCGCUCGAGGGAAAUGGUGGUCACAACAGAUACCGACUUGUUUUCUGAUCCACACAUCUGUGACCAAACCGAUGCAUAUCUGUAUUCCCAGUCGUGUGAAAUCCAUAGAUUAGAAUCGAGUGAAUUUAUUUAAAUUGACUUAGUUUCCUUAUGUACUGUAACUCUGUAAAAUCUUGGUUGUUGCAGGCCGCGUUUAUAUUUUUUUCUGCUCCGUGUAAUUAGGCCACCUUUUCACUGCUAUUUCCCAUGAUGCGUGUAUUUGUGUGUAUUGUCAUGUUUAAUGCUGUUACAGUAUGUCCAAUCUAUGUUCUCCUCUAGGCUGAGGGGACUCAGCAGCUGUGACUCCACUCCUUCAGAUGCGCUAUAGUCACUCUUAUGUUCUACCUUCAUGCCUAAACGGAGUACUGUACCUUUCACUUAGAACCAGGCGAUCUCUUUGUAGUCUGAGUGGAACAUCCCCUCAACUUAAAUGAACUUGUCAAAAAUGUCACGCAGAACCAUUGAAUGUAGUGAAGGUAUGUAGGAAAACUAUUUUUUGGUGAAAUAUCUAACAUAGAAAUCUCCACCUUCCUGCCAAUGUUGGUUGCAAUUACCCAACACAGUGUACGGUACAUUGUAUAGACCACAUGAACGUUUACAAUUUGUGAAACCAUACACCACUGUUAUCACUAGUGUAGGAUUUCGGUUGUAGAACUAUACUUUUAAUGUGUUAUUUCAAAGUAUUUUAUGAUGCUUGAAAUGUGAGUAAUCUGCAAUGAAUUCAGUACUAUUAUUGUGAAAUAAA